UACCAACUCUUGAUAUAAGUGGUGGAGC
rnacentral:piRNA from 1 species